GACGAACGCUGGCGGCGUGCCUAACACAUGCAAGUCGAGCGAAGUUAUUCCUUCGGGAAUAACUUAGCGGCGGACGGGUGAGUAACACGUGGGUAACCUGCCUUAUAGAGGGGGAUAGCCUUCCGAAAGGAAGAUUAAUACCGCAUAACAUCAGAUUCUCGCAUGGGAAUUUGAUCAAAGGAGCAAUCCGCUAUAAGAUGGACCCGCGGCGCAUUAGCUAGUUGGUGAGGUAACGGCUCACCAAGGCGACGAUGCGUAGCCGACCUGAGAGGGUGAUCGGCCACAGUGGGACUGAGACACGGCCCAGACUCCUACGGGAGGCAGCAGUGGGGAAUAUUGCACAAUGGGGGAAACCCUGAUGCAGCAACGCCGCGUGAGUGAUGAAGGCCUUCGGGUUGUAAAGCUCUGUCUUUGGGGACGAUAAUGACGGUACCCAAGGAGGAAGCCACGGCUAACUACGUGCCAGCCGCCGCCGUAAGAC
rnacentral:rRNA from 1 species